rnacentral:rRNA from 1 species
GACGAACGCUGGCGGCGUGCUUAACACAUGCAAGUCGAGCGGUAAGGCCCUUUCGGGGGUACACGAGCGGCGAACGGGUGAGUAACACGUGGGUGACCUGCCCUCAGCUCUGGGAUAAGCCUGGGAAACCGGGUCUAAUACUGGAUAUGACUCCAUGACGCAUGUUGUGGGGUGGAAAGCCUUGUGCGGCUGAGGAUGGGCCCGUGGCCUAUCAGCUUGUUGGUGGGGUGAUGGCCUACCAAGGCGACGACGGGUAGCCGGCCUGAGAGGGCGACCGGCCACACUGGGACUGAGACACGGCCCAGACUCCUACGGGAGGCAGCAGUGGGGAAUCUUGCGCAAUGGGCGAAAGCCUGACGCAGCGACGCCGCGUGAGGGAUGACGGCCU